rnacentral:rRNA from 1 species
UACGUAGGGACCAAGCGUUGUUCGGAUUUACUGGGCGUAAAGGGCGCGUAGGCGGCAAUUCAAGUCAUCUGUGAAAUCUCCGGGCUUAACUCGGAACGGUCAGGUGAUACUGCUUUGCUAGAGUGCAGAAGGGGCAAUCGGAAUUCCUGGUGUAGCAGUGAAAUGCGUAGAUAUCAGGAGGAACAUCGAUGGCGAAGGCAGCCCCUUGGACCUGUACUGACGCUCAUGCACGAAAGCGUGGGGAGCAAACAGG